rnacentral:rRNA from 1 species
UACGAAGGGGGCUAGCGUUGCUCGGAAUUACUGGGCGUAAAGGGCGCGUAGGCGGCGCACCAAGUCAGGCGUGAAAUUCCCGGGCUCAACCUGGGGACUGCGCUUGAGACUGGCGUGCUAGAGGAUGGAAGAGGCUCGUGGAAUUCCCAGUGUAGAGGUGAAAUUCGUAGAUAUUGGGAAGAACACCGGUGGCGAAGGCGGCGAGCUGGUCCAUUACUGACGCUGAGGCGCGACAGCGUGGGGAGCAAACAGG